AUUUAAAUAGCUUAUAAUAGAGCAUAAUAUUGAAGAUAUUAAGGAAAUCAGAGAUUUUUAAAUA
rnacentral:tRNA from 1 species